rnacentral:rRNA from 1 species
AUGCUGCUGCAGGGUUGUAGUCGUACCCGUGUCCAUGGUUAUCACUCAUCAACUUGGUCGUGCUCAUGUGGACUAUUUAUUUCCAACAAUGCCAUCAAACCAUCAGAGGUUCCUCGCCGGUUUCCUUUUGCUGCACCUUUGUUUGGUUGCUCUAGGGUGAGAGGACCUCUCUGCGUCUGUAUGCUGAUUUGGUCAUGGAAUUCGAGCCUCAUUUACUGCACCUCUGGCAAUGAAGGAUCAGUACACGCCCAAUCUUCUGUGGCCUCCUCUCAUAAGAACUUCUACAUCGCUGGUUGGAUUGGAUAUUCACAGAACUUUAUACCAUAUACUUUGGGCAUUGCUGAAACAACUGAAUGUCAAAGGUGCUUAUGGGUUGUCCUACAAUUUGUGUGGAUGUAUUUAGGUGUGGCGUUUAUGGUAGCUGCAGCAGCUUGUCAAUUAGUUCUUAGUCAAGGACAGGCACCAAUACAUGCUACCACUUAA